rnacentral:lncRNA from 1 species
CUCGGACGGUGGGGCCCAGGCCCCUGAUCGGGGCCAAGGGAAGAGGCCCUGGGGCCAUCCCUUCCAUGUCAAGGGUUGAGGAUGGGUGGAGCUGGCAGCCUGGCCCGAGCCGGUGUGGCGCCUGAAGGCAGACCCUCAUCUGGCAGAACAUCAAGAGCCCAGUAAGAGAGGUUAAAGCUAAAGAGCAGGAAGCACCUCUCAGUGGGGCGAGAGUCACUGGUCUAGGGAGCCACACAACCCUCUGACCAAGGGCCCACGUUCCUUGAUCACCGGGGGGCCGGUCUCUCUGAGAUACAGGACGAAUGUCUCGGGAGAAAGGCAGGCAGGUUUGGCUUUGAAUGGGGGAAGCUUACCGGAUUUCUUGCCCUUGACAGCAGAGGCAACUCCAGAGUAGCUGCAAAACCCCGCCCCCCCAGAGCCCAGCUCAGCUCCUGAAGGGAAGGACUUAGGUGCCAAUGAGGCUUGAGCACCCAGCCAAUGCACUCCCCCAGGACCCGGCACAUUUUGUUCCCUGAUGCAUCUCAUGUACCUAGUACAGUGGUUGGCACAGAGUAAACACGCAAGAACUAUUUGGCAAAGACAUUAAGCGGUAGAUGAAUGGUGAAACCGAAGGAUAGAGACAGGGAGGAUGAAGGGAUGGGUGGAUGGAUGAGCGGACGAGGGAUGGACGGAGAUGGCAAAGGGAUGGGUGGCUGUGUGCGUAAGGGAAGCAAAGGCAGCUGGAUAGAUGUACAGAUGAAUGAACGAAUGAACUGAUGGAGUGAGGAAUGAUGGGAGAUCCGUUCCACGGCCACCUGGACCAAACAUGGAAAUCCGUCAGGCAGUUCACUUCGUGGUGCACCCUCAGUGCCUGAGUGACAUCGAGGGAGACCAGAGAGGAGCUCAGAGGGCGGCCAGGCACAAGGCACGGGGUCACCGCAGCGCCCCCCCAACCCCGACUCGGCACAGACCCGACAGAUGGCUGUGGCACGCGCCCCGACUCAGGCUCGCUGCCGCACUGCGGGGCUACACCUGCCCCCCAACAACAGGUGACAUCCCCCUCUCCAGCCCGAGCCCCAGGGUUGUGUCCUGUCCCCACCCCAUCACCUCCUCUAAGUAGCUACAGAGGACGCUCUCCAGACUCAGCUCGUCAGCCUGCAGCUUCUGGGCCAGCUUCUCCAGCGGCAGCUCCAGGAUGGGCUUAGGGUCCAGCUCUGGCUCCUGCAGAGGUGGGGGGUGGGGGGUGGACCGGCGUCAGAUUGCUCUACCCAGGC